CUGUUUGUCAAUUGAAAUACACACUGUGCUUCUACGGGUCAACAAUGUGCUAGGUUCUGCCAACACUGCAGGGAAUAAGACACAUGUGGCUGCUGUCUUCAGAGAUGACAAUAUGGCUGUGUGUGUUUGUGUGGGGAGAAGGCACGGGGGGAGAAGGCAUGUCACACAGAGAAGGAGCGAGAAAGAGAGGAGGUGGUGGUGCCAAGUUCCUUUUAACAACCAGCUCUUGCAGGAAUAAACACAGCAGGAACUCAUUACCACUGGGGAAGGCACAAAGCCAUUUAUGAGGGAUCAGCCCCCAUCACCCAAACACCUCCCACCAGGCCCCAUAUCCAACACUGGGGAUCAUAUUUCAACAUGAGAUUUGGAGGGGACAAAUACUCAAACCAUAUUACAAACUUCUUCACUAGAAGAAUUUGGGUAUAUGUAAGUAAGUUUUCAGUAUAUGUGUAAAGUAGAAUAUUAUCAGAAAGGUUAUUUACUUUUCAUCUUCAUUAUCAAUUUUCUAUAGGUAUCAUAAAAAUUUAAAAUGCAUUUUGUUAAUUUAAUCUUUUAUUAUUUCUUAACAGUCACAAUGGAAUAAAUGUGCCUACUUUAAGACAUCUAUCUGGUUUUGUUGGCAGAUUUAAGGACUAACACUAGACUAAAUAUUACACAAAUAUUCUAUUCAAAUGACUUAAAAGUGCUACCCUUUUACUAAAAAUUUUAUCGUACUAAACAUCUUUGAAAUGUGUGUCCCAUAGGAAAUGUGUUUUUUUGAUAACCGUACUUCUAAAAAAAUUCCCACUUUGAGCACUGUCAGAAAACAGAGCAAAUUUAAAGAAAAUUUUGAGAAUAUAAAAUUACAUAAACAUUUCAUUUUACUUUUCCUUUAUCUUAAUCAUAUACCUUUAAAUAAAAAAGCUAUGAAAGACCUAAAUAAAAUUUGAGAAAUCAGAAUAGACAAACAUCAUUAAUGCCCAAAACAUAAUUUAUUUAUUAGAGAUGGGGUCUUGCUAUGUUGCCCAGGCUGGAUUCAAA
rnacentral:lncRNA from 1 species